GUUUGUAACCUACCCUUAACUGGAAGAUAGCCCCCGGAAACGGGGAUUAAUAUUCCAUGAUAUUUCAAAGAGGCAUCUCUUUGUUCUUAAAGCUCCGGCGGUUAAGGAUGGGCAUGCGUGACAUUAGUUAGUUGGUGAGGUAACGGCUUACCAAGACUACGAUGUCUAGGGGGUCUGAGAGGAUGAUCCCCCACACUGGUACUGAGACACGGACCAGACUCCUACGGGAGGCAGCAGUGAGGAAUAUUGGUCAAUGGACGCAAGUCUGAACCAGCCAUGCCGCGUGCAGGAUGACGGCCCUAUGGGUUGUAAACUGCUUUUAUACAGGAAGAAACCCCCCGACGUGUCGGGGGCUGACGGUACUGUAAGAAUAAGCAUCGGCUAACUCCGUGCCAGCAGCCGCGGUAAUACGGAGGAUGCAAGCGUUAUCCGGAUUUAUUGGGUUUAAAGGGUGCGCAGGCGGGGCAGUAAGUCAGUGGUGAAAUCCUGCGGCUUAACCGUAGAAUUGCCAUUGAUACUGUUGUCCUUGAGUGUAGUUGAGGUAGGCGGAAUAUGUAAUGUAGCGGUGAAAUGCAUAGAUAUUACAUAGAACACCAAUUGCGAAGGCAGCUUACUAAACUAUUACUGACGCUGAGGCACGAAAGCGUGGGGAGCAAACAGGAUUAGAUACCCUGGUAGUCCACGCUGUAAACGAUGAUCACUCGUUGUUGGCAAUACACCGUCAGCGACUGAGCGAAAGCAUUAAGUGAUCCACCUGGGGAGUACGGUCGCAAGAUUGAAACUCAAAGGAAUUGACGGGGGCCCGCACAAGCGGAGGAACAUGUGGUUUAAUUCGAUGAUACGCGAGGAACCUUACCUGGGCUUAAAUGCAAAACGACGCCCCGGGAAACCGGGGUUCCCUUCGGGGCGAAUUGCAAGGUGCUGCAUGGCUGUCGUCGGCUCGUGCCGUGAGGUGUCGGGUUAAGUCCCAUAACGAGCGCAACCCCUAUCGUUAGUUGCCAGCGGGUAAUGCCGGGGACUCUAACGAAACUGCCAGUGUAAACUGCGAGGAAGGUGGGGAUGACGUCAAGUCAGCACGGCCCUUAUGUCCAGGGCUACACACGUGUUACAAUGGCCGGUACAGAGGGCAGCUACC
rnacentral:rRNA from 1 species